rnacentral:rRNA from 1 species
UACGUAGGGUGCGAGCGUUGUCCGGAAUUACUGGGCGUAAAGAGCUCGUAGGUGGUUUGUCGCGUUGUUCGUGAAACUCACAGCUUAACUGUGGGCGUGCGGGCGAUACGGGCAGACUGGAGUACUGCAGGGGAGACUGGAAUUCCUGGUGUAGCGGUGGAAUGCGCAGAUAUCAGGAGGAACACCGGUGGCGAAGGCGGGUCUCUGGGCAGUAACUGACGCUGAGGAGCGAAAGCGUGGGGAGCGAACAGG